rnacentral:rRNA from 1 species
UACGUAGGGUGCAAGCGUUGUCCGGAAUUAUUGGGCGUAAAGAGCUCGUAGGCGGUCUGUCGCGUCGGCUGUGAAAUCCCGAGGCUCAACCUCGGGUCUGCAGUCGAUACGGGCAAACUUGAGUGUUGCAGGGGAGACUGGAAUUCCUGGUGUAGCGGUGAAAUGCGCAGAUAUCAGGAGGAACACCGGUGGCGAAGGCGGGUCUCUGGGCAACUACUGACGCUGAGAAGCGAAAGCAUGGGGAGCGAACAGG